rnacentral:rRNA from 1 species
AACGAACGCUGGCGGCAUGCCUAACACAUGCAAGUCGAACGAGACCUUCGGGUCUAGUGGCGCACGGGUGCGUAACGCGUGGGAACCUGCCCUUAGGUUCGGAAUAACUCCCCGAAAGGGGUGCUAAUACCGGAUAAUGUCUUCGGACCAAAGAUUUAUCGCCUUUGGAUGGGCCCGCGUUGGAUUAGCUAGUUGGUAGGGUAAAAGCCUACCAAGGCGACAAUCCAUAGCUGGUCUGAGAGGAUGAUCAGCCACACUGGGACUGAGACACGGCCCAGACUCCUACGGGAGGCAGCAGUGGGGAAUAGUGGACAAUGGGCGAAAGCCUGAUCCAGCAAUGCCGCGUGAGUGAUGAAGGCCUUAGGGUUGUAAAGCUCUUUUACCCGGGAUGAUAAUGACAGUACCGGGAGAAUAAGCGCCGGCUAACUCCGUG